UCCUGGCCAGGCUGGGGCUGUUCUCACCAGAAAACAAAAAUGUCUUUCAGACCAAAGCAAAACGAGGCCCCAGCUGGCCCAGGCAGGCCAUUGGGCGUUGUUCACACUGACCCACUAUGAACACCAAUCACUGGGGCUCUCACUUUGCACCCACUGGAAGGAACCCAUCAUCUUUGGAGACGGAACUGGAGGCCUCGGUGGCUGCUGAGGAAAGCACUACGCCCCAAGAUUCACAUGAAUUAGGAGCUACACAAAGGAAGUAGGCCCAGGAAUAACCACACCUACCACGGAUCUCCCGAGGCAGCCGAGCAAAUGAUGAGGAACCACCCCUGGGCAUCCUGAAGGACAACCCCAAGGGCUCAAAGCAGCAUCUCAUCCACAGCACUCCCCUAACCCCACCAAUCUGUGGACCCAGUGGAUGGUUAGUGGGAACUCUGGCGAGGCCAACGCAAGGAAUGGGAGCAUCACACCAGACCAUCCAGUGAGGUGAGGACCUUGACUGGGAAUUCCUCUCAUCUAUGCUUGGCAGAGUGGCCCAAGCUCCCAAUCUGUCAGGUGACUGGAACCUUGGAGCUCUAAGGAAGCAGCAGCCCUCAGAGAAGACUCUCUUCCACAAAACUGGUCACCCAGAAGCUGUGGGUUCACUAGUUGAUUCAUUCAUUCAUUCAACAAACACUUCUGGAGCACCUCCUUCUAUUCCAGGCUGCACUGGUUCUCAGCACACAGGGUUCUCCAGUGAAGGGUAACCUGGCCCUGCCUGCAAGGAGUUUACACCUGCUUUUCCCUACUGCUUCUAACAUAUUGGCAUCAUCCCCCACCUGGGCACAGAGCCUAGCAUCCUAGCAGGAGCACACUCAAAAUCUGUUGUUUACUGAUUGACUUGUGGUAAGGAAACAGCUUAUAAAACACAUUAUUAAAAUAAA
rnacentral:lncRNA from 10 species